rnacentral:lncRNA from 1 species
AAACAAAAGAAAAAAAAAAGAGAAGAAGGGAAGAACCAGAAUAGUAGAAACGAAACAGAGAGGGAAGGAAGGAAAGAAAGAAAAAAAAGGGAAAAUUUAAGGUUUGAAGCUUGAAGUUUAAUUUGGUAAGUCAAUUAAGUCAUUUUCUCUUAAAUUUGAUGUUUUAGAAGCUUUAAAACAAGGUUUUAUUGAAAUUAAGUUGAUAUUUUGAGAGUUUAUAGAUUUUCAAGUAUAGUUCAUGUUGAAUAAAAUAGUGAAUUAAGGGUUUAAUUGAGUGAAUUUCAAGUUAGAAUUGAUAAUAGGAUCAAAUUGUAAAGUAAGUUAUAAGUUUUAUGUUGUAGGAACUAAAUUGAUGAAAUUUUGAAAUUAGGAAAAUAUGCUGGAAAUUUAAUAUUUAAAUGAGAGUAUGGAUGAAAUUUGAAUAGAAAUAGAAUGUGAAUUGAAUUAGAAACGUAAGUGAAAAUUAGUUAAGAUUAAAUUGAAAUUAAAGUAGAAAAUUGAAUAGAAAAUUCAAUUAAUUAGAUAUAAAUUAGUAGUGAAUUAAUAAAUAUGAAUUGUUUUAAUUUCCGUAGCUAACGUUGUCUCGAGAAGUUUCGGCUAAGUAAGGAAAUAGCAAAGUCGACGAGGAAAAGCUUGGAAAAGCUCGAAAAAUACGGUUUGUAUUUCUAUAAUCCGAACUCAGUCAUUAUUUGUUAUAUUUAUAUACAUAUGACAAUUGUUAGUGUUAGAAUUAUGAUGUUUUACAAUUGAAAUGGAUUGAUUUUGGUAUGUGAUGAAUUUAUCAAAUUUAUAUUGAUUGAAAUUAUUUUGAUUGAAUUUAUAUUGAUUGAAAUUAUAAUAUAUAUAUAUGAUCUAUGUAAAAAUUUGAAUAUUGAAUGAAUGUUAUAUUGAAAAAUUAUAUUGAUUGGAAAUAUGAGGGAAUUGAUAUGAAUAUAUGAGAUUUGUGAUAAUUGAAUAUUUGAUAUUGAAAAGUGAAUUAAGUUGUAUUGGAUUAUGAAUUAAUGUGAAUAAUUGAAAUAUAUUUGUUGAAUUGAAUGAAAAUGUAUGAAAUUGUGAAAAUGUGUGAAUAUAUGUGAUUAUUAGAAUGGUAUAUUGAUGAAAGAUUCAUUAAAUUGAGAAAGUGAAUCAAAUAUCCUAUUAACAGUAUUGGACCAGAUUGGAUACAAAUGGCAUGCCAUUGGGUUUGUGAUGUGAUGAGGAGAUUUGUAGUUCGGCCGAGAAGAUGUUUCUGUUAUUAUAUACUUCGGUUUAUUCGAAGAGGCAUUUAAUGCCUUAUUGGUGUGUUUGGGAGGAUAUGAUAUACUGGUGUGUUAUGGAGGAUUUAUAAUAUUCCGGGUGUGUUUGGGUUGGAUAUUCUGGUGUGUUUGGAAGGAAUCCGCGUAUCUAUCAGAGUCUGAGUCUUGUUAAUAGGGGUAAAUAAGUGAAAAGAUAAAUCGAGUGAAUUUGAUUGAUUGAGCUAUUGGAAUGAAAUGAGAAAUUGAAUUGAGAAUUGAAAUUGAGGUAUGAGAUUGAAAACAUGAACCAAAAGGUUCAUGAAAUGAGUGAAGUUCAAAUGGAUGAUGAUUGAUGUUAGAAUGAAUUAAAAUGGUAUAUUGUUAAGAAGUAAAGUGUGAAUACAAGUGAAUUGUGAAUAUAUUGUAUAGAAUUUAUACGGUAAGUAAAUGAAAUUCAUCUAUAAAAUAAAUAAAUGAAUACUUAAAUUGCUAUUGUGAUUUUAAGUUUAAUUGUUAUAUUAUUAAGUGUUCGGAUUAUGGAAAUACCACUGAGUAUACCAUACUCAGCGUGUGGUUUGUUUCCGUGCGCAGGUUAAGUAAAGAUAGAACGUUGAAUCAGUAUCCCAGGCCGAUCCCAAAUUCAAUGAGGUAAAGUGUGUUAAUUAUGGGUUAUGGCAUGUACCUAGGAUGCCUUAUGUGUGUGUCAUUUUGAAAUUGUAAAUGUAAGGAUGAAAUAAAUAAAUUUAAGGUUUGGUUAUGGUAUAAAAUAGGAUUUGAAUAAUUUGGUAUGAAUUUGAAUUUUUAUGAGACAAUGUCAGAUUGAUUUCGGAAUUCCCUAUUCUGAAUUGGGAAAAUCAUUAAAAAUUGUAUAAAAAUAAUUAUGGGCUAUAAUUUAUAUCCUUAGAAUCCUUAAUGAGUCUAUUUUCAAGAUAAUUAAACGGGAACAUCACCCGAGUCCUGUGCUAUGAGAUAAUUAAAUUUUAGUAAAGAAAGAUCG